rnacentral:rRNA from 1 species
UACGGGGGGGGCAAGCGUUGUUCGGAAUUACUGGGCGGAAAGGGCUCGUAGGUGGCCAACUAAGUCAGACGUGAAAUCCCUCAGCUUAACUGGGGAACUGCGUCUGAUACUGGAUGGCUUGAGUUUGGGAGAGGGAUGCGGAAUUCCAGGUGUAGCGGUGAAAUGCGUAGAUAUCUGGAGGAACACCGGUGGCGAAGGCGGCAUCCUGGACCAACACUGACACUGAUGAGCGAAAGCCAGGGGAGCAAACGGG